rnacentral:rRNA from 1 species
AUGUGCUCGGCAGUUUAUCAUAGAUGUUUGACGGCAGACAAUCUGCAGCGUAGGGGAUGGCCUAAUAACCCUUGCUGCCCUCUAUGCCUCUCGGAGCCGGAAGAUUGGACACACCUAUUCGUGCAUUGCAGAUUCAUGCAACACGUAUGGCGGCUUUUCAAGCAGUGGUUGGGAGCCAACUUUAUCCUGCCCGACGAGAGCUUCACCACGACGGAGGAAUAGUGGCUACAAACGUGGCAGUAGAUCCCCAAGGCCAUCCGCCGCAACUUUGACACCCUGGCCAUUCUCAUGCAUUGGAGGAUUUGGAAGGAGAGAAAUGCCAGGGUUUUUGACCAGCUAGUCAGCAGUGCAGAUAGAGUGCUAGACAUGGCCAGGGAGGGAAUUAGUACUUGGAGGGCGGUUGGUUGCAUCUACGAUGUGACCCCUUGA